CUGGGUGGAUGAAAUAUAGAAUUAGUUCUAAUUAUUAUGACGCUUAUUAGUUCAAGAAAUUUUGCUCCAACCCGUUGAUGAUAUAAAAGAUCAUCUGGUAGAAGAAAUAUAUGUAAUUUCACUUGUUGAUGAUGCUUGUUAGUUCCAAUUAUUAUGACGCUUAUUAGUUAGUGAGGCUUCUUGCUAUGGAACAUACCCAACCAGGUUUGCGUCCCUACAUCAACAUGGGUGCUUGCAUUUGAAUUUAUCUUAGUAAUUAAUAUCACUAUUGUUCCAGUGGUAGGUGAUGUGUCCACCGAUGAUGAGAUACUUGUGGUGACUAAACCAAUCUCAAGAUUAGUGUUUGAAAAAAAUCUAUAAAAUCAAAUUAAUCUAUUAAAAUCCACCACAAAUACAUGUUGAUAGUCCAUUUUUUAGUAUUAUUCUAGUUAUUAAUAUAUUUUCUAUGAACUUCAUCAGUAUCAGAAUAUUUUGAGUUAUGAUAAAAUUAGAACAAUUUUUUACAUUUUAAAAUAUUUAGAGUAGAUCGUACACAUACAUGUAUCAAAUCGAGAUGUGAACUCUGCAAUCUGACUGAGAUGUGUUGGCGGCAACUAGCGCGCCAGUUUGAACCACAAGCGCAUGGAUCAGUUGUAGCUUUUUUCUUAGAGUAUUCCAUCCAAGGUUUAUCAAUUCGUGGAUUGACAUCGAACUGGCUACGGUUUUCUAUCUAAUCUAACGGAUCAAUCCUAACAUGAUAACAUGAAGCAUCGAUUGUGUAUAAGAGAUAAACCUGAUGUAGAGAUGAAUGAUAAGAAUACAAGUCGAUCACAUCCACAGAUACAUAUGACAUAAUGCUGCCAUGGGCAACAAGAACCUAUCACCUUCUUGUUGUAGUUCUAGCCAAUAAGCAAGCACACCAUGCAUCUCAUCCAAAGCAAUCUUUAUACUACUACCUCAGGUCAACCUACCCAAAACCCCCACCUUACACGGAACCGGAUCUUGUCACAAUCCCUCCUAUCGGCGUAGGCAGUUUAAGGGUCUAGCUAUCAUGAAGGGUCAACAUACUAGAUCUAAUCACCAUGAUUACACAAAGCAUGAUAGAUAGUCUAAUCCGAAACUAUACUAGGAACAAGCAUAUCCACGACAGAUACAAAAGCAUAAAAGGAGGCAAUGAGUCGCUAACAGAUUGGAUGACAUGAAGACAUUGCGCACAUGAUAGAUGUAUUAGAUCAUCACCUCCGAGUACAUACCUUCGAUGAUCCACUACUAGCUCCUGAACUCCAC
rnacentral:lncRNA from 1 species